AUUGAACGCUGGCGGAAUGCUUUACACAUGCAAGUCGAGCGGCAGCGCGGGGGCAACUCUGGCGGCGAGCGGCGAACGGGUGAGUAAUGCAUCGGAACAUGUCCGGUUGUGGGGGAUAACCUGGCGAAAGCCAGGCUAAUACCGCAUGAGCUCGAGAGGAGGAAAGGCCGGGGGACCCGCGAAGGGCCUCGCGCGGACCGGGUUGGCCGAUGUCCGAUUAGCUAGUUGGGAGGGGUAAAGGCUUACCAAGGCGAUGAUCGGUAGCUGGUCUGAGAGGAUGAUCA
rnacentral:rRNA from 1 species